rnacentral:rRNA from 1 species
GCAGUCGAGCGAGAAGCCUCCCUUCGGGGAAGGUGGACAGCGGCAAACGGCGUANUAAUGCGUAGGUUACGUGCCCCCAGGACCAGGAUAGCCGCGGGAAACCGCGGGUAAUACUGGAUGAUCUCUUCGGAGCAAAUGGUGCGAUUCCGCCUGGGGAGCGGCUUACGUGGUAUUAGGUUGUUGGUGAGGUAACGGCUCACCAAGCCUGUGAUGCCUAGGGGGUGUGAGAGCAUGGCCCCCACGACUGGGACUGAGACACUGCCCAGACACCUACGGGUGGCUGCAGUCGAGAAUCUUCGGCAAUGGACGCAAGUCUGACCGAGCGACGCCGCGUGCGGGAUGAAGGCCCUUGGGUUGUAAACCGCUGUCAGAGGGGAUGAAAUUCCGGUGGGCUAUCCCUCCGGAUUGACAGAGCCUCAGAGGAAGCACGGGCUAAGUACGUGCCAGCAGCCGCGGUAACACGUACUGUGCAAACGUUAUUCGGAAUCACUGGGCUUAAAGGGUGCGUAGGCGGCCAGGCAAGUAGGAUGUGAAAUCUUCCGGCUCAACCGGAAAACUGCGUUCUAAACUGCCUGGCUUGAGUGAGAUAGGGGUGUGCGGAACUUCCAGUGGAGCGGUGAAAUGUGUUGAUAUUGGAAGGAACGCCGUUAGCGAAAGCGGCACACUGGGUCUCAACUGACGCUGAGGCACGAA